GACGAACGCUGGCGGCGUGCUUAACACAUGCAAGUCGAACGGAAAGGCCCUGCUUUUGUGGGGUGCUCGAGUGGCGAACGGGUGAGUAACACGUGAGUAACCUGCCCUUGACUUUGGGAUAACUUCAGGAAACUGGGGCUAAUACCGGAUAGGAGCUCCUGCUGCAUGGUGGGGGUUGGAAAGUUUCGGCGGUUGGGGAUGGACUCGCGGCUUAUCAGCUUGUUGGUGGGGUAGUGGCUUACCAAGGCUUUGACGGGUAGCCGGCCUGAGAGGGUGACCGGCCACAUUGGGACUGAGAUACGGCCCAGACUCCUACGGGAGGCAGCAGUGGGGAAUAUUGCACAAUGGGCGGAAGCCUGAUGCAGCAACGCCGCGUGCGGGAUGACGGCCUUCGGGUUGUAAACCGCUUUCGCCUGUGACGAAGCGUGAGUGACGUAAUGGGUAAAGAAGCACCGGCUAACUACGUG
rnacentral:rRNA from 1 species